AUUGAACGCUGGCGGCAUGCUUUACACAUGCAAGUCGAACGGCAGCGCGGGCUUCGGCCUGGCGGCGAGUGGCGAACGGGUGAGUAAUGCAUCGGAACGUGCCCAGUAGUGGGGGAUAGCCCGGCGAAAGCCGGAUUAAUACCGCAUACGACCUGAGGGUGAAAGCGGGGGACCGAAAGGCCUCGCGCUUUUGGAGCGGCCGAUGUCGGAUUAGCUAGUUGGUGGGGUAAAGGCUUACCAAGGCGACGAUCCGUAGCUGGUCUGAGAGGACGACCCGCCACACUGGGACUGAGACACGGCCCAGACUCCUACGGGAGGCAGCAGUGGGGAAUUUUGGACAAUGGGGGCAACCCUGAUCCAGCCAUGCCGCGUGCGGGAAGAAGGCCUUCGGGUUGUAAACCGCUUUUAUUCGGGAAGAAAUCCUCUGGGAUAAUACCCCGGGGGGAUGACGGUACCGGAAGAAUAAGCACCGGCUAACUACGUG
rnacentral:rRNA from 1 species